rnacentral:rRNA from 1 species
GUGCCAGCAGCCGCGGUAAUACGGAGGGGGCGAGCGUUAUUCGGAAUCAUUGGGCGUAAAGGGUAGGUAGGUGGUCUCGUUUGUCUGAGGUGAAAGCCCUGGGCUUAACCUGGGAAGUGCCUUGGAAACGGCGAGACUUGAGUCCUGGAGAGGGUCGCGGAAUACCUGGUGUAGCGGUGAAAUGCGUAGAGAUCAGGUGGAAUACCAGAGGCGAAGGCGGCGACCUGGACAGGCACUGACACUCAACUACGAAAGCGUGGGGAUCAAACAGGAUUAGAUACCCUGGUAGUCCACGCUGUAAACGAUCGGUACUAGGUUAAGUGGGUAUUGACCCCUGCUGAGCCGGAGCUAACGCGAUAAGUACCGCGCCUGGGGAGUACGGUCGCAAGACUAAAACUCAAAGGAAUUGACGG